UACGUAGACGGUUGGAUAAGUCGGAUGUGAAAGCCCCGGGCUCAACCUGGGAAUUGCAUUCGAGACUGUUCAGCUAGGGUGCGGAAGAGGGAAGCGGAAUUUCCGGUGUAGCGGUGAAAUGCGUAGAUAUCGGAAGGAACACCAGUGGCGAAAGCGGCUUCCUGGUCCAGCACCGACGUUCAGGUACGAAAGCAUGGGGAGCAAACAGGAUUAGAUACCCUGGUAGUCCAUGCCAUAAACGAUGAGGACUAGACGUUGAGGGGGUAAGCCUCCCAGUGUCGUAGCUAACGCGCUAAGUCCUCCGCCUGGGGAGUACGGCCGCAAGGUUGAA
rnacentral:rRNA from 1 species